AUUGAACGCUGGCGGCAGGCCUAACACAUGCAAGUCGAACGAGUGGCGGACGGGUGAGUAAUGUCUGGGAAACUGCCCGAUGGAGGGGGAUAACUACUGGAAACGGUAGCUCAUACCGCAUACCAUCGGAUGUUCCCAUAUGGGAUUGGCUAGUAGGUGGGGUAACGGCUCACCUAGGCGACGCUCCCUAGCUGGUCUGAGAGGAUGACCAGCCAGACUGGAACUGAGACACGGUCCAGACUGCGACGGGAGGUAGAAGUGGGGAAUAUUGCACAAUGGGCGCAAGCCGGAUGCAGCCAUGCCGCGUGUAUGAAGAAGGCCUUCGGGUUGUAAAGGACUUUCAGCGAGGAGGCGUUACUCGCAGAAGAAGCACCGGCUAACUCCGUGCCAGCAGCCGCGGUAAUAC
rnacentral:rRNA from 1 species